rnacentral:lncRNA from 1 species
UGGGUGUCGUUGCCUUCCUCUGUCUGACAGGAAUCUCCCCGUUUGUUGGGGAAAAUGACCGGACAACAUUGAUGAACAUCCGAAACUACAACGUGGCCUUCGAGGAGACCACAUUCCUGAGCCUGAGCAGGGAGGCCCGGGGCUUCCUCAUCAAAGUGUUGGUGCAGGACCAGCUGAGACCUACCGCAGAGGAGACCCUAGAACAUCCUUGGUUCAAAACUCAGGCAAAGGGCGCAGAGGUGAGCACGGAUCACCUGAAGCUAUUCCUCUCCCGGCGGAGGUGGCAGGUAAGUGUGGCAGGCCAGCCUCUGUGCUUUCCACCUUCUCCUUUUCUCUAGCACUGCCUUCCCCCUCCCGUGGGCCUUCAUCUC